rnacentral:tRNA from 1 species
GCUGGGGUCGCGCAGCUUGGUAACGCGCAGGCCUGCUAAGUCUGUUUCCCUUUCGGGAUUCGUGGGUUCAAAUCCCACCUCCAGCGCCA